UCACCAAGAGGAUCAAGUCCUAGCGCCACAAACAGUUACAAACAGUUACGGGCACGCCUCCUGCAGGCCAGGUACUGUUCUAAGCCCUGAGGCUACAGGAGGGAACCAGAGUCCCAGCUUUCGGGAGCUCACAUUCUACUUCCGGUAGACAGACAAGGAACAAGUCAACAAGUAAAUAUAAGACAGGUCAGACGGUGAUAUGCACUGAAGACAAAACAAAACCAGGGCAAGGGAAUCAGGGAGCUGGUGGGAGAGGAAAGCAUGUUUAGAGAGAAGGCCUCGGACAAGGCGGGGUCAGGCCGAAGCUGGUUUUGAUUUUCCCUCAGGUCUCACAGUCUGCCACUCCCUUCCUGAUCUGCUCCUGUCCCCCUGAGCUGCCCUUCCUCUUCCAAAGGGCUCUCUCCCCACUCUGGAUAAUUCUAUUGAAGAUUAAUACUAAUUAUCACCUCCUCCAAAAAUCCUGCCUGAUCUCUUUUCUCUCCAGAUGCGUUAGGGAAACUCACAAAGAGUCAGUUCCUUUACCAAGUUCCCCAUGAAUGUGAUUGUAAAACUUGGGCUAUUCAUUUCCUAUGACAAAACAUUCAGGACUUUUAAAGCUUUACAACUCAAUCUUUUUUUUUUUUUUUAAUUGAGGUACAAUGGACAUAGAUUAACUUUUUUAAAAAAAUAGCUGUAUUGAGAUGUAUUUCACAUGCCAUACAAAUCACACAAAGUGCACCAUGAAAUGUCUUUUAGUGUCGUCACAAGGUUGUGCAACCAUCAGCACAAUCUAUUUUAGAACAUUUUCAUCACCACAAAGGGAAACCUUUAACCAAAGCCCCCGGUGCCCUUCCAAUCAACCCACUCUAAGUAACCUCUUCUCCUUUCUCUCUAACUUUGGCUAUUUGGGGCAUUUCAUAUGAAUGAGUUAAACCAUACAUGGUCUUUUGUGACGGGCUUCUUUCAUUAAAAAAAGGCUUCAAGGUUCAUCCAUGUUGCAUCAUAUAUCAGUACUUUUGUUUUCAUAGCUAAAUAAUAUCCACUGUAUGUAUGGACUGAUUAUAUUUUAUUUAUCAGUUGAUGGUUAUCUAGAUUGUCUCCACUUUUUGGCUGUUACCAGUAAUGCUGCUGUGAACAUGUGUGGACAAAUUUCUGUGGACAGGUAUGUCUUCACUUAUCUGGGGUAUACACCUAGGAGUGGGACUGCUGGGUCAUAUGGUAACUCUAUGUUUAACUUUCUGAGGAACUGGUGAAUUGUUUUCCAAAGCAGUGGAUUCGUUUCUGCUGCACCAUGAUGGGAACUCCCUGUCUGUCUUUCUGAUCAUGGCAGUUCUAGGGGGUGUAAGGUAGAAUCUCACUGUGAUUUUGAUUUGCACUUCCCUAGUAACAAGUAAUGCUGAGCAUCUUUUUAGGCAUAUCUCCUAAAUCCUUUGCCUAUUUUUUUUUAUUAGUAGAUUUUAUUUUUUCCCAAUAGUUUUAGAUGUAUAGAACAAUUGAGAAGAUAGAACAGACUUUUCCCAUAUAACUUACACCAAGGUUCUAUCAUUAACCUCUUAACGUUAGUAUUAUAUAGUUAUCACAACUGAUGAACCAAUAUUGAUACAAGAUUAUUGUCUAUGGCCAUACCACAGGGAAUGUGCUCAAACUCGUCUGAUAAAACAUCAUUAUUAACUAAAGUCCAUAUUUACAUUUCCUUAGUUUUUAAUCUAAUGUCCUUUUUCUGCUACAGAACCCAGUCUGGAUACUACAUUAUAGGUAGUUAUCACGUCUUGUUAUGUUCCUCUUGACUAUAAUAGUUUCUCAGAUUUUCCUGUCUUUUUUCUGGCUGCACCUGCGGCAUGCACAAUGUCCCUAGCUAGGGAUGGAAACUGAGCCACAGCAGUGACAACGCUGAAUCCUUAACCUCUAGGCUACUGGGGAACUCCCUAACCUUGACAGUUUGAGGAGUACUGGUCAGGUCUUUGCAGCAUCUUCUUAUGUAAGAAUCUGUCUGAUGUUUCUUUCUCUUUAUUAUAUGGGUGUAAUGGGUUUGGGAGAAGAUCAGAGGUAAAGGGCCAUUCUCACCCCCUCAUAUCAAGGGUACAGCCAUCAACAUGAUUUAUGCAUGGUGAUGCUGUGCCUGAUCACCUGGAUGAAACACUAUUUGUCAGAUUUUUGCACUAUCAAGUUACUCUCCUCCAUUCCAUAUGUACUCUUUGAAAGGAAGUCAGUAUGUGCUAAGAAGUGGGAUGCUAGGCUCCCCUAUCUUGAGAGGUAGCUAUACAAUCUAUUCAGAAUGCUUCUGCACACACGAGUUGUCCUUUCCUCCUCAUUUAUUAAUCUAUUCAAUAAUUUAUUUAUAUUAGUAUGGACUUAGGAAUAUUUAUUUUAUACGUUGGGUUAUAAUUCAAUAAUACUUUAUUUAUUUUGUUGCUCAAAUUGUCCCAACUUUGCCAUUGGGAGCUCUUUCCGCUGAUUCCUGUGCCUCUUUGACACAAUGUGUUACGUGUGCGCACGUUUUUAGUACUUCCUUAUUUGCCGGUACUACAAGACGCACGAGGGUCAUCUUGUGUAUUUCCUUCCCCAGUCCUAAAAUGAGCCAUUGUCCCCAGGAGUCCUGCUUCCUUUUAUGGAAGAAUAGUACUUAGAAACCAAAUUGGGGUACCAGGUGUGCUCAUUGCUCCUGGGAUGCCUUGACCUAGUCUUUAAUUAGAUUAUCUGUUUUUGUAUUAUUGAGUGGUAAGAGUUCUUUAUAUAUUCUGGAUAGAAGUCCCUUAUCAUAUAUAUGAUAUCCAAAUAUUUUAUCCCCUUCUACUGGUUGUCUUAACAUUUCUUGAUUCAGUCUCUUACUGAGUGAAACAAAUAUGGUGUAUUGUACUUCUCCAUAUAAACCUAUGUCUAGAGGAGGCAGCUCAGGCAAGAUUUUUUUCUCCUUUGGACCCUAGGUACCAAAUGGUUCUGCCUUUACCACUGAGAUCUUUCUGUUGUCUUCUGUGAAGCAGAUGUUCCCAUGUGUGGGCACUAGACAAGAUAUAUAAGCCUUCACUGUAUGUUGAUUUAACCAGUGAAGGCUUAUAUACCCUGUCUAGUGCCCACACAUAGGGCACUAGAAAGGAUAUAUACAUCAGCAUACAUAGAAAUGGCUCCACAGCUAACACAGAGCUGCUGGAAGAAGGACUGGGGCUAGAGAGGGUAGGGCCUUGGGAGCAGAGACUGUCCAUCAUUAAAAAUAAAAAACCACUUGGUUAGAAUCCUUCUAAGAAUGAUCACAACUCUCUUUCAUCAUAGGAAAUGCAAGUUGAGAACCUAUGCUGGGAAGAGCAGGGCUUUCUUAGAAACCAUUCAAUGAGAACAGAGAGGCUGCCACUGUGGUCUUUUAUAUCACAUUAGAAUCACUCUAAUUGCAUUUUUGUUUUCCCUGAAUGCUUCAGAUCCUACCUAUGGAGUUGAGGAGUGAGAAGCUUUCCCCAUAUAUGUGUGAAGCUUGUUCCUGUACUAGGUAAGUUGCGUAGGGAAAAUAAAGCAAAGCAAAAGCAAAGCAUUCCAUUCUCUUAUCAAGUUCACUGGUGGCCAAUUCUCUGUCCUAAGCUAAUUUAACCAACCAGCAGAAUUUGACACAGAUGAAGACCUUCCUCUUAGAACACUUUCUUCGCUUCUGGGACACACGCCUCUUCUGGUGGUUUCCCUACUUCACCGGCUGCUCCUUUUCAGGUUUCUUUGCUGGUUCUCCUGCAGUACGCCAACAUCUAAACAGCAGUGGACCCAAGGACCAAUUCUUGGACAGCCUUUAUUUUUUCUCUACUUGUGUUCUCCUUGAGAUCUCACCUCUCACUCUGUCUCAUUGCUUUAAAUCUCAUAUAUAUAUAUAUAUGGUAAUGAAUCCCAAACUCCUAUUUCUAGCCUAGACCUCUUUCCUAAACUCUUGACUUCUAUGUCCAGUUGUCUCUUCUUUGUCUCUCUUCAGAUGUCCAAUGGACAUCCCAAACUUAGUAUUUCCAAACCCAAACUCUUGAUAGACCCUGUGUAUUUGCCCCUUAGCACCCCCACCUCAACUCAACUGCCUUUCCCAUGGUCUGGCUCCUUUUCGUUUUAGGAAAUGAAAACUCUUAUUUUUUGAACUGCUCAGAACAAAACCUUUGGAGUCAUCUGUUCACUUCCAAUCUGUCAGCACAUCCUGUCAGCUCUACUUUUAGAAUAUAUCCUAAGCUGACCACUUCUCAUCCCUUCUACUGCUACCAUCUUGGUUUGAAUCACCUUUCUCUUUCACCCAGAUUAUUGCAGUAGUUUUCUAAAGGAACCUUCUGGUUUUGCCCUUGUCUGCAACUCCUCUCCUAAGGAAAAACAGAAAAUUCUCUAUUUUCAACAGAGCAGCCAGAGUGAUUCUUUUAUAAGUCAGAAUAUGGCACUCGUCUGUUUCAAACCCUCCAACAGCUUCAAACCUCACUCAAAGUAAAAGCCAGUGUUACUACAACCAUCUUCUAGAUGGCAGCUUCUUAGAUUACACCUCUGGCUUUAUUUCUUACUCUUUCCCUUGUUCAUUCACUUCAGCCAUAGUAGACUUUCUGCUGUUCUUUAAAUGCCAAACAUACGCCUUCCCCUAGUUCUCUGCUCUCAGAGCGCCUUUCCUGCUCUUCUAGAUUAUCCACGUGGCUUGCUUCUACUCUCCCUUUCAGUCUCUCCUCAAUGCUACCAUCUCUUUAAGGACUUUGAGAAACAUUCCAAAAUCGCAGGUUACCUUUCUCAUACCCUGGCACCCUCUCCCUCAUGUCUCAUUUUUUUACCAGAGUGUAUAUAUCACCAUCCGACAGACUUUGUAUUAUACAUAUUUAUUAGUCUGUCUGUCUUGCUCAAAAUAAUGAAAAUUCCACAAGGGCAGGACCUAGAGAGAAGGCACACCCAAUCAAUAUUUGUUGAACAAAUGAAUAUAAGGGGGAGGAAGCUUUCUUUUUCUUUUCUUUCUUUUUUUUUAGGCUGCACCCACUGCAGAUGGAGGUUCCCAGGUUAAGGGUUGAAUCGGAGCUGUAGCCGCCGGCCACAGCCACAGCCACGUGAGAUCCAAGCCGCAUCUGCGACCUACACCACAGCUCAUGGCAACGCCAGAUCCUGAACCCACUGAGGAGGCCAGGGAUCAAACCCGCAUCCUCAUGGAUAUGAGUCAGAUUUGUUUCCACGGAGCCACGAUGGGAACUCCUGAGGAAGCUUUCUCAUGGGUUAGAACCUAACCCCUUCCUGAACCUCAGCUUCCAUUUCCUUAUUUUUUGUCAGACUCAAGAAUGAGACACACGACUAGUCUAAAGAAAACCAAAAGGACCACAAAAUCAAGGAGACAUGAGAGAGGCAACAGGAGAGAUGAAGGAGAAAAGACAGGUGACACACACGGAAGGGAGAUGGAGAAGGAGAUGGGAGUUCUGGGAAGGAAACGGGGAUGUUUUUUCAAUGACGCCUUCAUGCGAACUGCCGGGUCCACCCUGGGCACUUCCAUGCCCAUUCAGACGUCUCCCGUCAUGCACUGCCUGGACUCCUGGGUUGUUUCAAUGACUCAGUUCUGGAGAAGCACCUGGCAGCUGAGGGUAAGAUGAUGUGUGAUGAAGAGCACACUCGGAAAGGCCUUCCACUUCCUAAACAGUCUGUACUGAUUUUUCAGGACAAGGCCCCUUGGGAGUCUAAAAAUCACCAGUUGGGUAAAAAGUGUCAAAACUCCAGCAGAGACAGGGGCUCUGCAAUCCCUGUAAUGUUAUAAGCUAUCCUGAUCUCACCCAAGAUUUAUCUUUCUGAGUGAUUAGAGAAAAGGCGUG
ensembl:lncRNA